GUAGUCUGCUGCUGCACGGAGUGCACGCUGUUGUUAUUUGUUAACUUAUCAUGCCAUGAGGAGAACAGAAAUCUUAUCUUGCUGAUCAUUUCUUGUUUUCGAAUUCUAAAAUCAAGUACUUGUUUUCUCGUAGCAUUGUUUUUUUGGUUGCGUUCAUUUCUUUUUUAAACGAUGUCGAUCGAAGUUGAAAAAAAGAAAGACGGUGUUACUUAUUGUGUGACAUGGAAAACAUUAAAAAGCCUCCUAUUUUCGAACAGAGAAAUCGAUGAAAUGUUCGAAUUGAACACCCCAGGAAGCAACUUUUCAUUUAAAGUCUCAUUUACUCAUGGUUUUCAGUUCAAUUUUUUAAGUUUUAACACUGUUUGCAUCGAACUGCGUUUGUCGCUAAUCAAAUGCUCGAGCAACAUUUCUAGUCUGUGUGGAGGAAAAGACGCCAUCUUUAAUUGUGACCAUAAUCUGCCUUGCUGUGUUUGGGUUACAAUCAACGAUGAAGAGGAAAGAAGAAUAAAUCUGGAAAAAGCUGUUGGAUUAGAUGAGUGGACUUCAGGAAAAUUUAGUAUUAAAACUUUUGGCAACCCCACCUUCCACCUUUGGUUGCAGUUUGCAAAACAGCUGACGGACACCCAGAAAACACCAUUAGCCGAAGAUAAGGACAAUGUGAAAGUUCCCAAGUCCAAGGAGUUCUGUCGUGGCAAGCUGAUUGCACUCGAGCAACUGGAGAAAGUGUUUGUCGAGCAAACGAACUGCGAUGUCGAAUUCUUGUUCGAAGACGAGGAGAAAAUCGGUGGCCAUAUUUCCAUCUUGGCUGCCAGAAGUCCCGUUUUCUCUGCCAUGUUUUACCACAACCUUCGAGAGUCCGAGACGGGCAAAGUCUUCGUCCAAGACAUCCGGCCACAGAUUUUCAAGGAGAUGCUACAUUACAUUUACUCCGGCCAGACUUUGGCUCCUUUGACGGACGUCAUUGCUCAACCCCUGUUCGUAGUUUCAGACAAAUACGAUAUCGAGGACCUGAAGGAGAAGUGCGUUCGUUAUCUGCUGAGAAGCGUUCGGAAGAGUAAUGCCGUUGACUUGUUGGUCUGGGCAAAUCUUCAUUCGGUGGAGAAAAUCGAAGAAGCAGCUCUUGACUUUGUGGCCAGAAAUUUCAAAAUCAUUUGUCACUCGAAUGAAUGGGAGAACCUGAUGAAGAACUAUCCGGAGCUUGGAUUCCUGGUGACUCGACGCUAUGCUUCUGUUUAAGAAAUACGCCAGCCGAAGAGUUUUGUAUAACUUUAAAUGCGGUUCCAGCGUCACCACCAAAAUCCACAUGUGUUCACGAUCCUCGCAAUAACAACACGUACAGCAUGAUACUGGACACUUAAGCAAGAUUUGCUUUUUAUCGCACGGUCAGCUAGUAUGGCAUCCGCAUCCCUGAAUAGUGAGUUUCACGAAAUCUUUUCUUUUGGUGGUUGUUAUUGCCAAUCGAUAAUACGACGCGCUGUAAGUUAAUCACAUUUAAUUCUUGAGAAAUUAACAGUAUCCUUUGUACGAAAGUGUGAUGGUAACCAGUGACGUAGUUGUCCAUUUAGUCCAGUGUUAACAUUUUGAGAACUUAUUGGCCUAGAAAAGAGAAAUAUUUAAAAAAUAGCCGACUGUCCUUCAAACGGUUCGAAAUGGAAAAUUUAUUCAUUCACCGAAGAAACGAGUCAAAUGACUCUGAUGUCAAUUGGUGUAAAACCCAUCCCCAGCGACGUCAACCUGCAGAAGGAAAGGCCAGUUUUCCUUCAAUCGAAGGUCAUGGAGAUCAUUACGUGUCAUGCAAUGGUGAAGAGGUUGGGUAAGAACCGGUGAAAACGACACGUGUUGCACCAUUAUCAAGCAGGUGCAAUAGCCGCAAGGCUUAGGGGGUGAGGGUGAGAAAAAAAUCGUAUAAAAGGAGAGAGAAAAUGCCAUAGAAAGCAGUCGAGUGAGGAUCUCCGACACGGCAACAACUGCUCUCUUCGUCGUAAUAUCAGUUCGCCAUCAUUGUUGAUAAUGGCGUUGUGUUGCUGUUGGGUGUUGUAUCGUUGAUGUCGACCAUGAGAGAGAUAAGGCGAUAAAUCGACAGAUUAUCUCCAACACGACAACAAUUGCCUUCUUCGUGGUAUUACCAGUUUUCAAUCACGGUAAACUAUGCCGUCGUGCUGCACUACACACAUCAACUUAUGCUGCUCCGAGCUACUACACCGAAGCCUCGUUGAAGUAUUAUCCUUCCCCGAGCUACGCUACCAAAGCGCAUGUGUACACCACCGAGGCUCCCGAGUACUACACCACCGAGGCUCCCGAGUACUACACCACCGAGGCUCCCGAGUGCUACGCAACUACGUAUGCUGCCCAUCCUACUUCACCGAGACUCCUAAGUACUAUUCUGCUCCCAGCUACUGCUUUGAGGCUCCAGCUUAGUACACCACCAAAGCGAUCGAAUAUUACACAGAAGCGCCCAAGUACGAUAGAAAUCAGUCGAGUGAGUAUCUUCGACACACAACACGGCAGCCCCGAAGUUUCGUAUUAACUUCGUUUCAAACAGUGGAACAGCAAAGAGCGAAGACGAAUUCUAUUGCAAUCCCGUUGAAUUGAACGGCAAAGAUAAAGGUGGCGUAGCAGUCGUACGUGGACACCGACAUUGUCGGUCGGAGAGCCGAACUUGACGAUGGCCGUACCAUCACCUACGACAAGUGCCUUAUUGCCACAGGUGGUAAACGAAAAUCUUUUCCAAUCCCUGAAUGGUGCCCUCAAAGAUGCCCUCGAGCACGUAACGCUGUUCCGCAACAUCGAUGGCGGUAACAUAGGCCGAGUCCUCCCUAAAUAUUUGAGCCAAUGGACAACCGAGAAGGUGAAAACGGAAAGUGUUUGUGUUGCUCAAAGCUAAUGUUGAGGGUGCAAUUUUGUUAGACUACAAGGUUGCAUUGACCUUAAAUGAUGGUCAAAAGCAGAUUUAAACUGACCAGUCGUCGCUGUUGUCGGUUGGGACGCAAACACGGAUUUGGCUGUCGCUUCUGGUUUGGAAAUAGAUUCCAAUUUUGGUGGUUAUCGAGUCAAUACCGGGCUUGAAGCACGAUCGAACGUCUGGUAGGCUGGAGAUGUUGCGUUCUUUUGUGAUAUCAAAUUGCGGAAUUGGGUCGUCGUCGUAUGGAACAUCAUCACUAUGCUGUUGUAUCAGGGCGAUUGGCUGGAGAGAACAACACUGUCAACGGAACAUGGAUGAACAAUUGCAGUACACUGUCACCAAGUGCAUUCUUCGUCCUAUUAUCAGUACGUAAUCGGGUCGGGUCGAUCACUGGUGUAACCAUGUCUCCUAGGUAUGGCGUAUACCAAAGCACCACGCCGCCGCCUUGCUACACAACAACAUUCGCACCAACCGGUUACUACACUGAGGACCAUAAUUACUACACCACCAAGGCUCCAGAGUAUUACACCAUCACCUAAGAUUCUGAGUACUACACCGAGGCUUCCAAACACUACACCACCAAGUCACCGGAGUACUACACGUAUGUUGCCACAGCUUAUACACCGAGGCUCCCAAGUAUUACUCAGUUCCUAGCUACUACACUGAGGCUCCAACUAAUUACACCACCAAAGCGGCUGAACCGAGCCGUCCAAGUACUACACCACCAAGGCUCCAGAGUAUUACACCACAACUUAUGCUUCCCCGAGCCACUACACCGAAGCCCCGAAGUAUUACUCUGCCCCAAGCUACACAACUACAACUGAGGUGGCCAAGUAUUACGCAGCCCCGACUUACUACACACCGGCUGCUCCUUCGUACUACGUUGAACAGGAAUACUACACCGAGGCUCCAGUUUACUACACCGCAACCCACGCUACACCUAGUUACCACACCGAGGCCCCUUAGUACUACGCUACCAAUGCAUCUGAGUAUUAUACCACUACUUACGCUGCUCCGAACUAUUACUCUAUCCCGAGUUACUACACCACUAAGGUACCUGAAUAUUUCACCACACCCUACGCUUCUCCAACUUACUACAGAGACGUUUCUAAAUACUAGAGUCGAAUUUUCAAUUUUCAAUCAUGUUCAAAUUUGUCGGUCAUAUCUUGAUAGUUACUAGUCACUGGGAAUUGUUGAUCUUUAAUGAGAAAAUAAAUUUUAUUAACCUGGGUAA